ACGAACGCUGGCGGCGUGCUUAACACAUGCAAGUCGAACGGAAAGGCCCUGCUUUUGUGGGGUGCUCGAGUGGCGAACGGGUGAGUAACACGUGAGUAACCUGCCCUUGACUUUGGAUAACUUCAGGAAACUGGGGCUAAUACCGGAAAGGAGCUCCUGCUGCAUGGUGGGGGUUGGAAAGUUUCGGCGGUUGGGGAUGGACUCGCGGCUUAUCAGCUUGUUGGUGGGGUAGUGGCUUACCAAGGCUUUGACGGGUAGCCGGCCUGAGAGGGUGACCGGCCACAUUGGGACUGAGAUACGGCCCAGACUCCUACGGGAGGCAGCAGUGGGGAAUAUUGCACAAUGGGCGGAAGCCUGAUGCAGCAACGCCGCGUGCGGGAUGACGGCCUUCGGGUUGUAAACCGCUUUCGCCUGUGACGAAGCGUGAGUGACGGUAAUGGGUAAAGAAGCACCGGCUAACUACGU
rnacentral:rRNA from 1 species